GGGGUCAUAGUCUAGUCUGGCAGGACAACCGGCUCCAGACCGGUUAACCGGGGUUCGAAUCCCUGUGACCCCA
rnacentral:tRNA from 1 species